rnacentral:misc_RNA from 1 species
AAGUCGUAACAAGGUUUCCGUAGGUGAGCCUGCGGAAGGAUCAUUAAUGAGUUAUGUUCUUUAUUGAACAAUCAUCUCUUUAAACGCAUCUGUGAACCCUCUUUUCUUCUGAUUCUUUACUGAAUCGGGACUAAAAGGCACAAACAUUUUUUUUUCAAAAUGCUAUAUUUUUUUUGACUUUUACAGUCGAAAUUUAAAUUUAAACAAAAAAAGUUUAAAAAU